rnacentral:rRNA from 1 species
UGGGGAAUAUUGGACAAUGGGCGCAAGCCUGAUCCAGCAAUGCCGCGUGUGUGAAGAAGGCCUGCGGGUUGUAAAGCACUUUAAGCAGGAAAGAAGGGGCGAGGGUUAAUACCCCUGGUCAUUGACGUUACCUGCAGAAUAAGCACCGGCUAACUCCGUGCCAGCAGCCGCGGUAAUACGGAGGGUGCGAGCGUUAAUCGGAAUUACUGGGCGUAAAGCGCGCGUAGGCGGUUAUUUAAGUCAGAUGUGAAAGCCCUGGGCUCAACCUGGGAACUGCAUUUGAUACUGGAUGACUAGAGUAUGGUAGAGGGUAGUGGAAUUUCCGGUGUAGCAGUGAAAUGCGUAGAGAUCGGAAGGAACACCAGUGGCGAAGGCGGCUAUCUGGACCAAUACUGACGCUGAGGUGCGAAAGCGUGGGGAGCAAACA